rnacentral:rRNA from 1 species
UACGUAGGGUGCGAGCGUUGUUCGGAAUGACUGGGCGUAAAGGGCGCGUAGGCGGCCGCUUGCGUCGGAUGUGAAAGCCCGGGGCUCAACCUCGGAACGGCAUCCGAUACGGGGCGGCUCGAGACCGAGAGAGGUGAGUGGAAUACCCAGUGUAGAGGUGAAAUUCGUAGAUAUUGGGUGGAACACCGGUGGCGAAAGCGGCGCGCUGGACCUCUUCUGACGCUGAGGCGCGAAAGCCAGGGGAGCAAACGGG